AUCCUGUUGUGGUUCAUAAGAAUAGGGACUGGGUUUUCACACUCGUGUGAGAUGUGCCUUCCUUAAACCUUAAGACAUUGGCACAUUACCUAUCUGAUG